GGCUUUGCCACACUCGUUACAUUCAUGCGGUUUCUCUCCUGUGUGGAUUCGCUGAUGUAGGACAAGGUUUGAAUUGAGACUGAAGGCUUUCCCACACUCAUUACAUUCGUAGGGUUUCUCUCCAGUGUGGAUGAUUUUAUGGCGGAUAAGGCUUGAGCUUCUUGUGAAACAUUUCCCACACUCAUCACAUCUAUGAGUCUUUGCUCCUGAUGGAAUCUCCUCGGGAGUAUUAUUAAAGUUUGCACUCAGGCUGAAGCUUCUUCCCAAACCUUUACCCUUCUCCCUUGGGCCCCUCUCUCCUGUGGUGGGCUUCUUUUCCUUGGCUGUAGGUGGCCCAGGGGCUUUCUUCUCUUUGCCAGUUUUCUCUUCAGGAUUUUUCUGUUGCCUUUCAAUUACUCUGCCCUGCUGUUCCCGCUUCUCUCCAAACUCUUUCUGGAAUCUUCCUGCUAUCUCCCCGUGUGAGGUGGAAUCUCCUUUGACUUCAGCUUUUGAGGUUGACUCACUUCCAUUCCUGUUCUCAGAACCUGACAUGAUAAACAGAAAAUACAAAUUGCAUCAUUUUCUUCUAAAUGCAGGUGUUCACACGGUGACAUUUACUAUGAAGCUUCUAUAUUCCUGGGAGAAUGCCCUUCAUAGUAUUAAAGAUAAAAGCAGAAAAGGGGAAAAAUUUAACAACACCAGGAAGAGCUGGAAUGGAGGUGGAAAAAAAUAUCAUGGUAUUGGUAAAGAGUACAAAGAAGGCCAGGCAGAGGGGUGCAUUCAGAGUGGAGCACACCUAGCAUUCAAUAGUUGAGGCAGGAGAAUCAUUAGUGAUGGACCAGUUGGGGCUACAUAGUGAGACCUAUCUCAAAAGAAAACAAGAGUGAAAAGAAUUUGAAUAAACAGGCAGUGGGGACUUGAAAAAAGAAAGUUACGGAAGGAGAGGAUAAGGAAUUAAGAGGCUUCAGGGAUUGUUCUAUUAUGUGGUCAAUUGAUAACUAAUUAGAAAGAAAACAUAUUUAACAAGUCAUAGCUUGGCAUUGUGGUGCAUGCCUCUAAUCAUAAUACUCUGGAGGCAGAAGCAGGGAGA
rnacentral:lncRNA from 1 species